rnacentral:rRNA from 1 species
AAUGAACGUUGGCGGCGUGGAUUAGGCAUGCAAGUCGAGCGAGAAUCCCAGCAAUGGGAGGAAAGCGGCGAAAGGGAGAGUAACACGUGGAUUAUCUGCCCUCUGGACCGGGAUAGCUACGGGAAACUGUAGGUAAUACCGGAUAACAUCUACGGAUCAAAUGGUGUGAUUCCGCCGGAGGAUGAGUCCGCGUCCUAUUAGCUAGUUGGUGAGGUAACGGCUCACCAAGGCCAUGAUGGGUAGCGGGUGUGAGAGCAUGGCCCGUCUCACUGGGACUGAGAUACUGCCCAGACACCUACGGGUGGCUGCAGUCGAGGAUCUUCGGCAAUGGGCGCAAGCCUGACCGAGCGACGCCGCGUGCGGGAUGAAGGCCUUCGGGUUGUAAACCGCUGUCGGAGGGAAGGAAAUAUUAGGGGGUUCUCCCCUUAGUUUGACCAACCCUCGGAGGAAGUACGGGCUAAGUUCGUGCCAGCAGCCGCCGUAACAC